rnacentral:rRNA from 1 species
CCUACGGGAGGCAGCAGUCGAGAAUCAUUCACAAUGGGGGAAACCCUGAUGGUGCGACGCCGCGUGGGGGAAUGAAGGUCUUCGGAUUGUAAACCCCUGUCAUGUGGGAGCAAAUUAAAAAGAUCGUACCACACGAGGAAGAGACGGCUAACUCUGUGCCAGCAGCCGCGGUAAUACAGAGGUCUCAAGCGUUGUUCGGAAUCACUGGGCGUAAAGCGUGCGUAGGCUGUUUCGUAAGUCGUGUGUGAAAGGCGCGGGCUCAACCCGCGGACGGCACAUGAUACUGCGAGACUAGAGUAAUGGAGGGGGAACCGGAAUUCUCGGUGUAGCAGUGAAAUGCGUAGAUAUCGAGAGGAACACUCGUGGCGAAGGCGGGUUCCUGGACAUUAACUGACGCUGAGGCACGAAGGCCAGGGGAGCGAAAGGGAUUAGAUACCCGGGUAGUC